GGAUGAGCUGUGGAUAGGGGUGAAAGGCUAAACAAAUCCGGAAAUAGCUGGUUCUCCCCGAAAACUAUUUAGGUAGUGCGUCUUAUAUCACUUCCGGGGGUAAAGCACUGUUAUGGCUAGGGGGUCAUCGCGACUUACCAAACCAUGGCAAACUCUGAAUACCGGAAAGUGCGAGUAAGGCAGACAGACAGUGGGUGCUAACGUCCAUUGUCAAGAGGGAAACAACCCAGACCGCCAGCUAAGGUCCCCAAGACACAGUUAAGUGGGAAACGAGGUGGGAAGGCAUAGACAGCUAGGAGGUUGGCUUAGAAGCAGCCACCCUUUAAAGAAAGCGUAAUAGCUCACUAGUCGAGUCGUCCUGCGCGGAAGAUGUAACGGGGCUCAAACUGUGCACCGAAGCUGCGGAUAUCGAAAGAUAUGGUAGGGGAGCGUUCUGUAGGUCUGUGAAGGUGUCUGUAAAGGAUGCUGGAGAGUAUCAGAAGUGCGAAUGCUGACAUGAGUAGCGAUAAGC
rnacentral:rRNA from 1 species